GUUUCACCGUCGUUCGCACUUCAGCUCUCCUGCUCAACUUUCUCAAGGUAAAAUUUAUUCAUUUGAAUCAUUGUUACCGUAUAGAAUGAAUCAGGAAAUUAAUCUUCAGAAUUUUUGUUAUUGAUAUGCUAGAUUACGAAUUUUCAUUGCUAGACAUGUUACCCUGAAUAUCAAUCACAGCUUUUCCAUCCAUCAUGCCUUACCCCAUUGUCAUUACUACUAAGUAAGUUGCUGGUGUUGCUAUUCUUCUAGUUCUUUUUCUUCUUCGUCUUCUCAUUAUCAUUGUUGUUAUUACUACUACUGACAGUGGGUAGAGACUAGAGACUUUUGAGGUUGUGUGGUUUUUCCUUUUCUUCACUACCUUGAUAGAUAGCGAGAGGCUUUUAUGCAUAAUGCACAUACGAAAUAUUGUUGUAUGGAUUUUAGAAUUAUGCUAGCAUUACAUGUGAUUUAACCAAAUAUGCUUUAUGUUAAUAAAGAACAUAGUUAAUAAGACAGGAGAUUAGAAAGAGGUUUAACAAUGAGGUAAAUUGAAUCACAAUUUUAAGCGUGAGACAUAAUUUAAGGGAUGCAUCACGAGAAUAGUUGUACAAAUUUAACUAAAUAAUAUGAGUCAUUGAAUUAAUUUAUGAAUCAUCGAUUUGGUUUGUAUGUUCUGAUUGAAUUAAGAUAUGUUUUCAUGUCUUAAAUAAUAGUUACCUAGAAACUAGCCUAGAGACUAGGGUUGUUCUACCGAAGCUGUUGAUUAAUAUUUGCAAACCGAACUGAUGUUUUGUAGGCGACCCCCUAUGAAAAGUGAAACUGUUUAGCUUUUGGGGUGAAGACCUGCUCGCGAACCCCUAUGCAAAGUGAUGCUUCAAGUAGGCGGCCUUGAUCGUGUCGUAGCCUUCUAUGAAUAAGUGAGUUUAUUUAUUUAAUUUAAUUAUUAUGAUAACUCAUCCUUAUUAUUUUUUAGUAUGUUACUUUGGUACGGAAAUUCAACAUGUACUAGAUUCCCUCCAACCAGAAUUGUUUG
rnacentral:lncRNA from 1 species